UGGGGAAUCUUGGACAAUGGGCGCAAGCCUGAUCCAGCCAUGCCGCGUGAGUGACGAAGGUCUUCGGAUUGUAAAGCUCUUUUGGCGGGGACGAUAAUGACGGUACCCGCAGAAUAAGCCCCGGCUAACUUCGUGCCAGCAGCCGCGGUAAUACGAAGGGGGCUAGCGUUGUUCGGAAUUACUGGGCGUAAAGCGCACGUAGGCGGAUCUAUAAGUCAGGGGUGAAAUCCCGGGGCUCAACCUCGGAACUGCCUUUGAUACUGUAGAUCUCGAGUCCGGAAGAGGUGAGUGGAAUUCCUAGUGUAGAGGUGAAAUUCGUAGAUAUUAGGAAGAACACCGGUGGCGAAGGCGGCUCACUGGUCCGGUACUGACACUGAGGUGCGAAAGCGUGGGGAGCAAACAGGAUUAGAUACCCCAGUAGUCCCUGAGCGGGCUGGCAAGGCGCAU
rnacentral:rRNA from 1 species